GAUGAACGCUGGCGGCGUGCCUAAUACAUGCAAGUCGAGCGAACAGAUGAGGAGCUUGCUCCUCUGACGUUAGCGGCGGACGGGUGAGUAACACGUGGAUAACCUACCUAUAAGACUGGGAUAACUUCGGGAAACCGGAGCUAAUACCGGAUAAUAUAUUGAACCGCAUGGUUCAAUAGUGAAAGACGGUUUUGCUGUCACUUAUAGAUGGAUCCGCGCCGCAUUAGCUAGUUGGUAAGGUAACGGCUUACCAAGGCAACGAUGCGUAGCCGACCUGAGAGAGUGAUCGGCCACACGGGAACUGAGACACGGUCCAGACUCCUACGGGAGGCAGCAGUAGGGAAUCUUCCGCAAUGGGCGAAAGCCUGACGGAGCAACGCCGCGUGAGUGAUGAAGGUCUUCGGAUCGUAAAACUCUGUUAUUAGGGAAGAACAAAUGUGUAAGUAACUAUGCACGUCUUGACGGUACCUAAUCAGAAAGCCACGGCUAACUACGUG
rnacentral:rRNA from 1 species